GACGAACGCUGGCGGCGUGCCUAAUACAUGCAAGUCGAACGAGUUGCGCACGGGUGAGUAACGCGUGGUAACCUGCCUCAUAGCGGGGGAUAACUAUUUGAAACGAUAGCUAAUACCGCAUACUUUUAGAUGGACCUGCGUUGGAUUAGCUAGUUGGUGAGGUAAAGGCUCACCAAGGCGACGAUACAUAGCCGACCGGAGAGGGUGAUCGGCCACACUGGGACUGAGACACGGUCCAGACUCCUACGGGAGGCAGCAGUGGGGAAUAUUGCACAAUGGGCGCAAGCCUGAUGCAGCCAUGCCGCGUGUAUGAAGAAGGCCUUCGGGUUGUAAAGUACUUUCAGCGGGGAGGCGUUACCCGCAGAAGAAGCACCGGCUAACUCCGUGCCAGCAGCCGCGGUAAUUC
rnacentral:rRNA from 1 species